rnacentral:rRNA from 1 species
GGGUUGUGAGGUUAAGCGACUAAGCGUACACGGUGGAUGCCCUGGCAGUCAGAGGCGAUGAAGGACGUGCUAAUCUGCGAUAAGCGCCGGUAAGGUGAUAUGAACCGUUAUAACCGGCGAUUUCCGAAUGGGGAAACCCAGUGUGAUUCGUCACACUAUCAUUAACUGAAUCCAUAGGUUAAUGAGGCGAACCGGGGGAACUGAAACAUCUAAGUACCCCGAGGAAAAGAAAUCAACCGAGAUUCCCCCAGUAGCGGCGAGCGAACGGGGAGGAGCCCAGAGCCUGAAUCAGCAUGUGUGUUAGUGGAAGCGUCUGGAAAGGCGCGCGAUACAGGGUGACAGCCCCGUACACAAAAGCGCAUGUGCUGUGAGCUCGAUGAGUAGGGCGGGACACGUGGUAUCCUGUCUGAAUAUGGGGGGACCAUCCUCCAAGGCUAAAUACUCCUGACUGACCGAUAGUGAACCAGUACCGUGAGGGAAAGGCGAAAAGAACCCCGGCGAGGGGAGUGAAAAAGAACCUGAAACCGUGUACGUACAAGCAGUGGGAGCCCCACCACUAAGCCAGUGGUGAACUCCACAUACGCAUCCUUUGCUGAGGAUACGGUUAACGGAGCGAAAGCGACGUUCAACCGCAAAAGAAGCAGAGGGGGCUUAGUGGUGGGGUGACUGCGUACCUUUUGUAUAAUGGGUCAGCGACUUAUAUUCUGUAGCAAGGUUAACCGUAUAGGGGAGCCGUAGGGAAACCGAGUCUUAACCGGGCGUUAAGUUGCAGGGUAUAGACCCGAAACCCGGUGAUCUAGCCAUGGGCAGGUUGAAGGUUGGGUAACACUAACUGGAGGACCGAACCGACUAAUGUUGAAAAAUUAGCGGAUGACCUGUGGCUGGGGGUGAAAGGCCAAUCAAACCGGGAGAUAGCUGGUUCUCCCCGAAAGCUAUUUAGGUAGCGCCUCGUGAA